CUCUACUCCUCGCGUGAAACGCACCCGUUCAUUUUGCCCCAUUCAAAAGACCCUUGUGAAUUUGCCCGUGUUGGAAAACAGAAGUAAUCACCUCCCGCGUGCAGCACAAAUUCUCGUCGACACGUUUGACUUGACGAAAAUGAUUGUGAAAUCCUCCCUACUGUUGCCCUGAAGCUGUUUUGCUUCCAAAUGUCCAACUGUUGAUGCUUGGUGCCAGAGAGAGAAGAGCCUGCCAGGAAACAGACUGAGUCAGCAUGGGGAAGGGAGUCAUCGUCCCUUGAGCCUGGAGCGCGGCCAGCGCUCGCUGAGUUAUGACGAUAACAAGAGAGAGAGGAGAGCUGCUGGGAAUCCCUGCUAGAUAUUCAGCAGAGAAAGAGAAGGAAGGAGAAAGAGGCGGUUUCCACAUUGAUGUCACAUUGAUCUUUCUGGUUUCAGCCAUGGACUGGAUACAAUCUCCAGCUGGAGUUGAUGAAACGAUAAACCCUUUUCUAUCUGAAGGCUGACCGGGAGUUCUGGCAGGACCUGGAUGUUGUUGUCAGCCAAAAGAAGAUCCUGGAGAUGAGACAGUGAACGGAAAGCAUCCUCAUCCACUUUACUAAUCAGGUUUCCACUUAGGUCAAUUCUCCUCAGCUGAUCUGAAAACAGUGGGCAGAAAUACUCAUUACGCAGUUAUUUGGAGGUCAUGCUUCAAGGUUGCUUUCACUCAAUGUCUUUAAUUGUGCAUUUUUUGUCCUGUCAUAUACAUAAUAGAUCUGUUAUUCAGCCAUGACGUCACUUAAUGGGACGUCUUGGGAGGCUAAUUCCCCUUGGGUUUCCACAGGAAUUCGGUUUUAGAAAAGCUGUUUGGGGUUUAUGAGUUAAUUAAAGCCUGCGGUUAGCAUUAUUUCAAGAGAUGUUAGCUUUUUCAUCUGCACAAGUUAAAGCUUUCACUUCAAGCAUGAAUUUAUAUGUAUUCUUUAAGUUGAAGACACAUUGUUACAACCAGGACAAACUUUGAAACAGAGAUGUGAUGGCCUCAGCAUGCUCGAAGAAUCUGGUUUACAUCUGAUUUGUGGUUUAUGUAGCAACUUUA